UUUACUUCUCUCACUGUCCGUGAGUGACACCUAGCAGUAUAUCAUGGCAAUCCAGAAUGAUGAUGAUUAAUUAGAAACAUUUCCGCUAACAGUUACCGUGUGAUUAAUUCCUUCCAACACACAAUAUCCCGAUCGAACCAAAGUUAUGGUUACUCGUCAAAUCUUAUUAUUCGAUCAUAUGAAUAGAACAUCUAAAACUGACUCAAUAUGGUAACAUAGCUGGAAACUAUUUCCACGCAUCACGUAUCCUG
rnacentral:lncRNA from 1 species